rnacentral:rRNA from 1 species
AGUGAACGCUGGCGGCAGGCCUAACACAUGCAAGUCGAACGGCAGCACAGUAAGAGCUUGCUCUUACGGGUGGCGAGUGGCGGACGGGUGAGGAAUACAUCGGAAUCUACUUUUUCGUGGGGGAUAACGUAGGGAAACUUACGCUUAUACCGCAUACGACCUACGGGUGAAAGCAGGGGAUCUUCGGACCUUGCGCGAUUGAAUGAGCCGAUGUCGGAUUAGCUAGUUGGCGGGGUAAAGGCCCACCAAGGCGACGAUCCGUAGCUGGUCUGAGAGGAUGAUCAGCCACACUGGAACUGAGACACGGUCCAGACUCCUACGGGAGGCAGCAGUGGGGAAUAUUGGACAAUGGGCGCAAGCCUGAUCCAGCCAUACCGCGUGGGUGAAGAAGGCCUUCGGGUUGUAAAGCCCUUUUGUUGGGAAAGAAAAGCAGCAGGUUAAUACCCCGCUGUUCUGACGGUACCCAAAGAAUAAGCACCGGCUAACUUCGUG